CGAAUUCCCCCUUAGAGUUUGAUCCUGGCUCAGAUUGAACGCUGGCGGCAUGCUUUACACAUGCAAGUCGAGCGGCAGCGCGGGGGCAACCCUGGCGGCGAGCGGCGAACGGGUGAGUAACACAUCGGAACGUGUCCUGGGGUGGGGGAUAACCUGGCGAAAGCCAGGCUAAUACCGCAUGGGCUCGGGAGAGCAAAGCGGGGGACUCGUAAGGGCCUCGCGCCUUUGGAGCGGCCGAUGUCCGAUUAGCUAGUUGGUGGGGUAAAGGCUCACCAAGGCGACGAUCGGUAGCUGGUCUGAGAGGAUGAUCAGCCACACUGGGACUGAGACACGGCCCAGACUCCUACGGGAGGCAGCAGUGGGGAAUUUUGGACAAUGGGGGCAACCCUGAUCCAGCCAUGCCGCGUGAGUGAAGAAGGCCUUCGGGUUGUAAAGCUCUUUCGGUGGGAACGAAACGGGCGCGGCUAACACCUGCGCUCAAUGACGGUACUCACAGAAGAAGCACCGGCUAACUACGUGCCAGCAGCCGCGGUAAUACGUAGGGUGCGAGCGUUAAUCGGAAUUACUGGGCGUAAAGCGUGCGCAGGCGGUGCGCCAAGCUCGAUGUGAAAGCCCCGGGCUUAACCUGGGAAUUGCAUUGAGGACUGGCGUGCUCGAGUGCGGCAGAGGGGGGUGGAAUUCCACGUGUAGCAGUGAAAUGCGUAGAGAUGUGGAGGAACACCGAUGGCGAAGGCAGCCCCCUGGGCCGACACUGACGCUCAUGCACGAAAGCGUGGGGAGCAAACAGGAUUAGAUACCCU
rnacentral:rRNA from 1 species